GAAGGUGUACUGUGAGGUAUGCUGGAGGUAUCAGAAGUGCGAAUGCUGACAUAAGUAACGAUAAAGCGGGUGAAAAGCCCGCUCGCCGGAAGACCAAGGGUUCCUGUCCAACGUUAAUCGGGGCAGGGUGAGUCGACCCCUAAGGCGAGGCCGAAAGGCGUAGUCGAUGGGAAACAGGUUAAUAUUCCUGUACUUGGUGUUACUGCGAAGGGGGGACGGAGAAGGCUAUGUUGGCCGGGCGACGGUUGUCCCGGUUUAAGCGUGUAGGCUGGUUUUCCAGGCAAAUCCGGAAAAUCAAGGCUGAGGCGUGAUGACGAGGCACUACGGUGCUGAAGCAACAAAUGCCCUGCUUCCAGGAAAAGCCUCUAAGCAUCAGGUAACAUCAAAUCGUACCCCAAACCGACACAGGUGGUCAGGUAGAGAAUACCAAGGCGCUUGAGAGAACUCGGGUGAAGGAACUAGGCAAAAUGGUGCCGUAACUUCGGGAGAAGGCACGCUGAUAUGUAGGUGAAGUCCCUCGCGGAUGGAGCUGAAAUCAGUCGAAGAUACCAGCUGGCUGCAACUGUUUAUUAAAAACACAGCACUGUGCAAACACGAAAGUGGACGUAUACGGUGUGACGCCUGCCCGGUGCCGGAAGGUUAAUUGAUGGGGUUAGCGGUAACGCGAAGCUCUUGAUCGAAGCCCCGGUAAACGGCGGCCGUAACUAUAACGGUCCUAAGGUAGCGAAAUUCCUUGUCGGGUAAGUUCCGACCUGCACGAAUGGCGUAAUGAUGGCCAGGCUGUCUCCACCCGAGACUCAGUGAAAUUGAACUCGCUGUGAAGAUGCAGUGUACCCGCGGCAAGACGGAAAGACCCCGUGAACCUUUACUAUAGCUUGACACUGAACAUUGAGCCUUGAUGUGUAGGAUAGGUGGGAGGCUUUGAAGUGUGGACGCCAGUCUGCAUGGAGCCGACCUUGAAAUACCACCCUUUAAUGUUUGAUGUUCUAACGUUGGCCCCUGAUCGGGGUUGCGGACAGUGUCUGGUGGGUAGUUUGACUGGGGCGGUCUCCUCCUAAAGAGUAACGGAGGAGCACGAAGGUUGGCUAAUCCUGGUCGGACAUCAGGAGGUUAGUGCAAUGGCAUAAGCCAGCUUGACUGCGAGCGUGACGGCGCGAGCAGGUGCGAAAGCAGGUCAUAGUGAUCCGGUGGUUCUGAAUGGAAGGGCCAUCGCUCAACGGAUAAAAGGUACUCCGGGGAUAACAGGCUGAUACCGCCCAAGAGUUCAUAUCGACGGCGGUGUUUGGCACCUCGAUGUCGGCUCAUCACAUCCUGGGGCUGAAGUAGGUCCCAAGGGUAUGGCUGUUCGCCAUUUAAAGUGGUACGCGAGCUGGGUUUAGAACGUCGUGAGACAGUUCGGUCCCUAUCUGCCGUGGGCGCUGGAGAACUGAGGGGGGCUGCUCCUAGUACGAGAGGACCGGAGUGGACGCAUCACUGGUGUUCGGGUUGUCAUGCCAAUGGCACUGCCCGGUAGCUAAAUGCGGAAGAGAUAAGUGCUGAAAGCAUCUAAGCACGAAACUUGCCCCGAGAUGAGUUCUCCCUGAC
rnacentral:rRNA from 1 species